CCGCCAGAGAACUACAAGUGAAAAACUUAAAACUCAAAGGACUUGACGGUGUCCCAUAUCGACCUAGAGGAGCCUGUCCUAUAAUCGAUACCCCCCGUUCCACCCAACCUCAACUAGCAAAUUUCAGCCUAUAUACCGCCGUCGACAGCCUACCCUAUGAAGGUCUAAAAGUAGACACAAUAGCCUCCCCCGCUAACACGUCAGGUCAAGGUGUAGCAAAUGUUGAGGAAGAGAUUGGCUACAUUUUUUAAUAUAAAAAUCACGAAAAGCAUUAUGAAACCAUGCAUGAAGGUGAAUUUAGUAGUAAAAU
rnacentral:rRNA from 1 species